rnacentral:rRNA from 1 species
CUUAACCCCGGAACUGCUUUUGAAACUGCUUUUCUAGAAUCCGACAGGGGUUGACGGAAUUCCGAGUGUAGAGGUGAAAUUCGCAGAUAUUCGGAGGAACACCAGUGGCGAAGGCGGUCAACUGGGUCGGUAUUGAUGCUGAGGUACGAAAGCGUGGGGAGCGAACAGGAUUAGAUACCCUGGUAGUCCACGCCGUAAACGAUGUGUGCUAGUUGUUGGGGCCUUGAUGCCUCGGUGACGCAGCAAAAGCAUUAAGCACACCGCCUGGGGAAUACGAUCGCAAGAUUAAAACUCAAAGGAAUUGACGGGGACCCGCACAAGCGGUGGAGCAUGUUGUUUAAUUCGACGCAACGCGAAGAACCUUACCACCCCUUGACAUCCUGGUCGCGGGGGGCAGAGACGCCCUCUUUCAGUUCGGCUGGACC